GAAAAAAAUAACUAUUUUGAAAAAAUGUAUGUACAUAUAUGAACACAAACUGGAUAAGGCUUAUCAGGAUUGGGUGGUUGUUGUUUGUUAUGGUGUGAAUGUCCUUAUCACUUGUGCCAUAUCCUAAUCUAUGGUAACCCUUUGUUCCGCAUGUAUUAUGCAGCUUUGUAUAUAUAUUGCUUAGUAAAUACAAUGAAUGAGUCUUUGCCGAAAUCAUCACAUGGUAUGAGGGCCCCAUACUGACUGUACACUUUAAGUCAUUGACAGAGCAGGACAUAACUGCAGCGUAUGCAAAAGACCAUGAAAUAUCAUCUUCUCCUCAAUCUGCUGGGGACAAAAAUCUGAAACAGUUCGAAAACUGUAUAAUCUACAUUUUCUUUCAGCUGCUCAAUAGUAAAUUGAUCACUUCUUCCAUCCUUUGAGCGCGAAAAGAGUACCAUAAUAAUAUAUAUUAGAGCUUCAAACUUCCAGGGUUACCAUGUAUCAGCUAAUAAAUUAGAGAUAAAGCUUUGCAGAAGAGUAGGUUUUGGCACAACUGGAACAGCAAGAAAUCAAACCCUUGAGACCUGCCUCUCUAGGCAACGACAUCUCCUUUUCCCUUCUUUGCAGAACACUUAUAAACUCAUCUGAGCUUAAACUUCCAUCACGAUCCGCAUCAAACACAUGGAAUAUUAUGUCAACCAAAUUAUCAGUAAUGGAGACGCCGCAUACUUGGGAUGCAGCUCUCUGAAAAUCAUUUUUUGUUAGCAUUCCAUUUAAUUUUCCAUAGCUGAAAAUGGCCAAAGAGAAAGGUUGCAACUGUUUUCGUAGCUCUGCAAAAUCUUUGAACUCCUCAAAUGUAAUUCGCUUGUCUAGAAGAUGAGGCUCUUUGUUUAGUUCAUCAACCCUGUCCAGCAACUUGUUUAUGUCGCUAAUGUCAGCCGAUGCAACCAUGGACAAGGCAAAAUCCUUAGCUGAUAUAGUUCCGCGUGAUUUGAAGUCAUAAUGGGCAAAUUCCAACUUUAAAAUUUCAUGGUGCAAGUUCCUCAAAAAUUGGACAAAUCUUCCAUGUUUUAGACAGUUCUUUCCAUCUUUGCCAAAGAAGUAUUCUAACAGGCCACCAUUCUCCACAGGCUCUCCAAUUCUGGGACCAAGUCGCCGUCCAUCCCUGUGGCGUGCCCCUUGCCUGUUUUGAGAUCGCAUUAAAGUCAUCACUUUUUUAAAUUCCUCCCUGUCAAUCUCUCCGUUAUUGUCGAGAUCAAACAUUUUAAAUGCCACAGAAAAGCUUGAUUCAGGAAUGCUGAGAAGUGUAACAAAAAAUAUGUACUCUGGAAAAGAUAUGAGUCCAUCACUGUUAGUAUCAAAAAGCAUGAAAAAUUCUGAAGGCUCACAUAGUAACUCUCCAGGGACUCGCUCCCCUCUGAGAGAGCCCUCUCUAACACGAUUUGAUUCAGACGAAGGAAACACUGGAACCACUGCUCGCAUCAAGUCUCCUGGCGUCAUAAGAACAUCUCCAGCAGGGGUUCGAAGAGAUGCAAAAUACUUGAAAACCUGAAAGGCAUGCAAAUGAGGAGGAAAAAAUUAAAAAUUAAGCUGAUUAAACAGGUUAUUUCCACGCAGGCAGAUAACCUUCUCUUUAUCCUCUGCAUCUGACAGGUUUUGUUGAUUUAUAUAUGCUUGCAAUUCAGGGAUGAAUCUGGAAAUUAUUUUAUUCAACUUACAGAAGACCUAAAUUUACCUUUUCCGGGUGACUUUGCAUCCUCAUGCGCUUUUCAUAAUUAAAGAAAAUUCUUCUCCUGUAUGCAUCUGAAAUAUUGGCAAUAUUGAUCAAUAAACGCAAAUUUUUUAUAACAGAACACACCCUGCACAUGAAAGCCCAUUUAUGCCGAAAUGGCCAGAAUUCACACUCUUGACAUUUUGGAUGAAGAGACCCUCAUAACAUAUCAAGAAACCAUCUAACCUAAAAAGUUCAAUAUUAUAUAUCUCACAAAAUUUAAUAAGAACAAAAGCGCACACCUCCAAAGAGGAAUCUGUGCUUCUUCUUGGGUAGAAGGAGAUCUUCAUUAGAUUCCCAAACAGUCUCAGUUGCGCCUUCAGCGAAAGACACAAAAGAAGGCUCAUCAACUAGAGAAAAGUACCAAUAGCUAAAUCCCAGGCUAGAACCAACAACGAAAGCCCCUGAAGAGAAUGAUCUAAAAAACGACUUCAACAAGGCAUCCUCGCCCUUCUGGUCACGGCCAUAGCUAGACCCAUUAAAGGAUGGCCUCAGUGAAGAUGAUGAAGAUGAGGCGAACCCUUGUGAUUGAUUGAAGAACUGGCGUGUGCAGAGGUGCUGAUUGGUGAUCAGGACCCGAUUGAUGAAAACAAGCGAGGAUUUUCUGACAAAUUCCCGAGAAAACAUUAGUACAAGAAGAUUGCUAUCGUUUAUAUUCUUACAAAACAGAAACAAGUGAAAAAGGAUUGCAAGACUAGGAAAUAUAUAAAUGUAAGAGCGUAGGAUAUUUUUUUUGACCGAGAAAGAUGGAGUUCGUUGAGGUUUGAGUCCAAAUAUAGCAGAUUUUAUAACGCUUUUUCAUAAUUUAGUUAUACUCAGACAGUUAAGGGCGCCCUUUAGUUUCAU
rnacentral:misc_RNA from 1 species